GGGCUAUAGCUCAGCUGGGAGAGCGCUACGCUGGCAGCGUAGAGGUCAGGGGUUCGAGCCCCCUUGGCUCCA
rnacentral:tRNA from 1 species